GCCUGGGUGGCUCAGUGGUUGAGCAUCUACCUUUGACGCAGGUCGUGAUCCCAGGCU
rnacentral:tRNA from 1 species